GACGAACGCUGGCGGCGUGCCUAAUACAUGCAAGUAGAACGCUGAAGAGAGGAGCUUGCUCUUCUUGGAUGAGUUGCGAACGGGUGAGUAACGCGUAGGUAACCUGCCUUGUAGCGGGGGAUAACUAUUGGAAACGAUAGCUAAUACCGCAUAACAAUGGAUGACACAUGUCAUUUAUUUGAAAGGGGCAAUUGCUCCACUACAAGAUGGACCUGCGUUGUAUUAGCUAGUAGGUGAGGUAACGGCUCACCUAGGCGACGAUACAUAGCCGACCUGAGAGGGUGAUCGGCCACACUGGGACUGAGACACGGCCCAGACUCCUACGGGAGGCAGCAGUAGGGAAUCUUCGGCAAUGGGGGCAACCCUGACCGAGCAACGCCGCGUGAGUGAAGAAGGUUGUCGGAUCGUAAAGCUCUGUUGUAAGUCAAGAACGAGUGUGAGAGUGGAAAGUUCACACUGUGACGGUAGCUUACCAGAAAGGGACGGCUAACUACGUA
rnacentral:rRNA from 1 species